AGUUUACAAAGUAGAUGUCAUUGUGGUUGACUUUCUGGUUUGUGAAACUGUAUUUAAUGCAGAAACCGUUGUGGAGUUGUGUGAGGAUUGGUGGCUAAGAAUUAUUUCAUGAUUUCCUUUGAAGGUACGAGUGAGGCCAAAGAUAAUGGCUAAUGAAGAAACUGAGGGCUCCUAAGGGCAAGGGAGAAAUUAAGGUGAUUAUGGAGUCAGCGGCUGCAUUUUGAGUAAGAAAUCACUGCAGGUCAAUUUCCUCAAUCUCUGAAAGCCCUGUCUGGUGGUGGCUUUAUAUGAAAGAAGCCAGAUGAAUUCAAGAGAAUGUGAUUAUCCAGGAAGUUGGCUAAAAUGGAAUCAAGUAAGAAUUAUUUUUAUGCUUUACCAUCGUCUCUAUUAAAAAUAAUACAAAUAGCCAAGGCUCUCCCAGAGCCUAGCGUUUGGAGAGUCAUAGAACAUUCUGUGGUUUUGCUUCGAUGUCUUGCACUUUGCUUGUUUUAGAUUGAAAUACAGGUAAAAUUUUUGACACCCCAAGCCAAAUUUCUGAUGCUAUUGUUCCAUGAGUGGGACAGGAAGACUGAGAUAAAAGUAUAGCUCGUUCUUUUCAUAUCUAAGGCAUAAGACCCAUUUUUAGUGUGAAGGAUAAAACUAGGAACCCUUCUGGCUACUAGACAUCAUGGGGCUUCAUUUUUAUUUCACUCCUUUGGCUUAUGGAAAGAAAAGAAAAGUAGAAAAAAAAAAGAAGCACCAAAUAAUAUACUUAUAUUUCCUUUUUGAUUUUCUGCUUUGGGGAAAAAGGAUGAGGGUAUUAAACUCGUAUUUGGACUGUAGAUUUUUCUAUUUUUCAUAUAAAACUAUCCUAACUUAUUUUGGGGUAAUAAAGUGAAUAAGGUUAGGAUAAAAAGUGGAAAGUAUUUUCCAAUCAUACAAUUUUCUUUUAAAACAAAGACAACCCUGUGUGGGAUGUGGAGUCCUCUCUGCAUGAUCAGAAACCCAACUAUUGAACAGGAAAUAAUUUGAAGAGAUGAAAAUGUUCUUGCCGGGCACAGUGGUGCGUGCCUGUAAUCCCAGUGGCUUGGGAGGUUAAGAUAGGAGGAUCGCAAGUUCAAAGCCCGCCUCAGCAAUGGCAAGGUGCUAAGCAACUCAAUGAGAUCCUGGGUCUAAAUAAAAUACAAAAUAGGGCUGGGGAUGUGGCUCAGUGGCCAAGUGCCCCUGAGUUCAAUCCCUGGUAUCCCCCCACCAAAUAAAAGAAAAAGAAAAUAAAAUAUUCUUAUUACCUAGAAUUGUACUUCUUGCUCCCUCUCUAUCAGAGAAACUAUGCUUGCUCAAUUCUAUUUUUUUUAGUAGGGGGAGAUUGAACUAAGGGGUGCUUUAUCACUGGGCCACAUCCAUGGUACUUCUUAUUUUGAGACAGAGUCUGGCUAAGUUACCUAGCGCUCCCCUGAAUUGCUGAGGCUGGCUUUGAACUUAGGAUCCUCUUGCCUUUGCUCCAUUCUAAAGCAAAGCCUGUGAGUCUUUCAGAUAGAAAUUAGAGAUGAAAGAGAAAGCCAUUAGAGUCAAACCUGUUACUGGGUAUAAUGUGGAUCAAGCCAUUGUUUAGAUAAGCCCCAAAGGAGAUAGACCAUUUAAUUCAACAGCUUUUCUAGGAAAAGGACUCCGUUGAUCUAUGUUUAACUAUGCUAAACCAGUCGUGGACAAUUCAGACCAUAAACAUUGAGUUGAACUAAAGGAUAGUUAACUGCUGUUUUAAUUUUAAAGGAAAUUGCAAAGGUUCGUGGUAUAUUUUUAUGGAUACCUCAUGCACAAUUACAGCAGGCGUGACUGGCCAGGGUGGAUUAUAUUUUACACAUAAUUAGUCCAGGCACAUCCUUGGGCCUCUGAGAAGAGGUCAAUGUGGCUGGUUCUGUAGACACUCCCAGUGUUUUGGGUACACUCAUUUAAAAAAGGGAUAGGUAUUUGCCUUAUAUUUUUUUUCUAGGAGUAAAGUAGUUUUUGCAAUAAUAUUGAGUAAAUAAAUAGGUAUCUUCCAAAGCUAUAUGUUAUCUUAAGCAAUUUAUGUCCUUAUUGAUUUUUUUUCCUGUAAUAAGAAAGUUAAUGCUUGAAAUUGUAUGUAGUUGCUAUAGAAACACACAAAAGUCUAUUUCUCUUGAAGAGGAAGCAUACGAUUAAUCUGUUUUUUAACCUAGUUUAUUAUGAGAAUGUCUGCAGAAUGUAAUAACAGAGAUCUGUAGUCCUAAUAAUUUUUAUCUCUGUUUUUUUAUGGCAACUGUCUAAAUAAUCUUUUCAGAUUUUUUUUAAAAAAUGCUAAUUAGUAGAAUUGUUUUGAAAUUGAGAAAAAAAAUAAGUGUAUCAUCUAUAAAAUAUGCUUCUAAAAUACUCAGCAUCCUUUGUAUUAUUUUACAUUUUAUGGAGUUCAUUAACGUUCCAUCCAAACACAUUUUAAAUAUAUGAGUCUUUUAUUACUUUUACAUAAUGCUUUUAUUUAAAAUGAAAAUAAGUUUAACUUAAGGUGGCAAAUGUACCAUUGCUCCAGAAUAUAUUAGCAUAUUUUAUUUUUAUAUCAUGUAAUAUUCAGCUUGAAUUUGCAUGUGCAUGUGUCUCUAUUUCUGUUAAUAUGUAGAUUUCUUUCAUAUAAGCUGCUCUGAGAGUCUUCAUCAAUUAAUACUAAGUGGCUUUUUAAUGUCCCUGAUCAGUGGAUAUUAAUCUAAAUUUCCAAACCAGGGUCACAAAACCAAACAGCUGUAGGAGUCAGCCAGCCACUGGAAACCGGUGAAAACUGCCAGCUAGAAGAUGGUGAAGAGGAAUCUCUAAGGUGAGGCUUCUGCCCUUUGCAAGCCCCAUGUGAUUGUUCCCAGGUGAGUACUGAAGUGCACAAUGCUUAUCCAAUCUUUUCUUGAUUCCUAAAAGAGAAUCCAGAAUUCUGAGCGCUGAUGUGAAAUAUAUCAGCAUAUAAAUCCAGAAAACCAAAGUACUGUAAUUUUUAAAGAAUAACCACAAAAGGUCAAAAUCAUCUGCAGUUUUCAUGUGGUUCACUGCCGUCAUGUUGUAUAGCUUACUUACCUCCAGAGGAAAUGACAGCCUUGGGAACAGAACAUCAUGAGAUGUUGUUGCUUGUUGGUCCAACUAGACAGUACUGGAAUUUACAUUUUAUUAUUUUUUUUUUUCUUUUACGGAUGCAGAAAGUAAUAUUUGACUGACUGGCUGAAAUUCACACCAUAUAUCAUUAGUCUUAAAAGAAUGAAUCCCCUCUUGCUAUUUUAAAGUGAAUUAUGAUCUUGGAUCUAGUGAUUAAAAUUGUAUGUUGAGAUGAAUGGAAGCCCAGGAGGGGAAGAAUCAUUGAAGAAUAAUAAAGUGGUUUGGAUUUGGGCUCUAGGGGUUGCUGACUGAAUUAUGCAGAGGAACUUUGGCAGUUGGGCUGUGUAGAGAGUUGGGGCAGAAAGUGAUUAUCAGGGAACAAGUUGAGUGCAGAAAGGUUGAGAUAUGGCUGGAGGAAGAAAAAUAGGGUGGGAGAAGAAUUGAUUAACAAGGGCAUGGGAUUUUGCUAUUGUGAAUUGAAAGUAACUUCCUUUCUGACUUCUAAUUAUACUUUCAAUAAAAACCCACAUUUUUUAUGCAAUACUUUCAGUAAUGGGUAUGUGUGGGUAACUGUUUGUUUAUUGAAUAUCAUUGCUGUUUGCUAUUAAAUACAUAUUAGAACAUCUUCCUUAUGGCCUCUUGGAAAAAAACCAGGCAGCCGGAACAUGACCAGUCAUGUCACAGCCAGCUUGGAUUAUAUUGAUGUCAUGGAAUCCUUAUGAUUCGCUUGUUUUAUUAAAUGAAACACAAUUUAGGAAGCAAAUCAUUUUGAAAUGAGAAGUCAAUGAGAAGCAAUUUGAGAGGUUUUGUGGGCAGUUGGGUAUAGAGGAGGGAGGGAAAGAAAAGCAAACAGGGAGUGGUGGAGUAUACCAUGGGGCCCAGUCCAGGGAGGCCCCAAGCCCGCAGUCCUGGGUGGAGGUGGCAUCCGCUACUAGUACAUCUUUUUUGCUUCCGUUUCAUGAUUUUUGAAAUACACAUUCCUUUCAGCCUGCCUGAUAAUACAGUCAUGAAACAUGAUUGGCGGAAUCCCAGCCUUUACAAGGGAGGCUGUACUCCAUCCACCUCCCUUCACUACGUGGCCAAGAAGACCACCUGUGUCUCAGCUACAGAUGGGGGGUGGGCUGGUGGUAGUGAUGGAUCAGUGGAGCCAAGGAUUGGGCUGCCCCGGAUCAUUAAGGGCUAGAGCAAAGCCAUUGUUAAAGGUGAUAUUUUAAAGUAGCCUCCGUGGCAUUUUAGGAAACAUAAUAAAUUUGGACUUGUAGUCUCGGAUUUGACAGGAAACACUGUGAUUAUUAUUGUUUUAAGUAUCUGUGUAUCACAGAGCAAGUCACAUCGAUUUUUCUUUUUCUUUUUUUUUUCAAAUGGCUAUUAUUUUAUUUCCCAUAUAUUUAUUUUGAUAAAUUAUAUGUGUACAUAAUGGUGGAAUUUGCUGUUCUGUGUUGGUCCAUGGACACAAUGUAACAAUGUAAUUUGGCCAGGAUCAUUCCCCAGUAUUAUCACUUUUCCUUUCCUCCUCCCGACCCCUGGUCCCUUUCCUCUCCUCUGCUUAUCUCCCUUUGAUUUUCAUGAGAUUCCACCCCCUCAACACUUUUCUGUUUUUCCUCUCUAGCUUCCAAAUAUGAGAUAAAACAUGACCCUUGGCCUUCUGACUUUGGCUUAUUUCUCUUAACACAAAGCUCUCAAGUUUCACCCAGUUUCCUGCAAAUGCCAUCAUUUCAUUCUUCUUUGUGACUGAAUAAAACUCCAUGGUGGAUAUAGUCCAUGUUUUCUUUAUCCGUCCAUCUGUUCAUGGACACUUAAGCUGGUUCUGUAGUGUGGCUACAGAAAAUGGGUGCAUAUAAAGGAAAGCAUUAAAAUCACAUCACUUCUCAUGCUCAAUCCUAGGGCUGCAAACACCCCAAUAUACUGUUUUUCUGGCCCCAGAUAAAGAAUUUGGAAGAUUCACUAGAGAGGUUUUGGACAUUUGAUUAAUUACUGGGAUUCAGUGGAGGAAGGCCUAUGCCUAAGAGUAGGGGGUGUAUAUGGGGUGGGUGGCAUGCCCACUACACAGGUGAAUUUAUGAGUACAUUCUUUAAUUCACAACCAAGGCCACCCUUCUUAGAUUCUUACCUAGAGAUUGGAAACAGGGGAAGGGCCAUCUGCCCUCUCCAUCCUUAUCACAUCUGAAUCUCACUGCAAGCCUUCCUAGGCACUGACUAGAGUUUAACCCCACAAGAGUUCUUUCCCCAUAAGUGUACAUCAUAGUUUUCUUGUAUUUUUAAAGCAUGAUCUUUUUUUUUCUUUAAUAAAAAUAAAAGCAUGUGAUGAUUAAGAAAGACUUUGAUAUAUGAUCUGAAAAUAUUUUGUUAGAAUGAGCACUACAAAGAAUAAUGUCACCUUUCAGCAUUUUAAGGAAUUUUUACUAGAGAAUGUAAAGAUCUAGUAAAAAUUUAGUUCACAAUAAAAAUAAUAAUCCACAAUAAGUAUGUUUCCAUGAAGAUAAUACAAUUAUCAAAGGAACCAAAUGAAGUAAAGCAAAUUCUAAAAUAGUUAAUAUUAAUAACUUCUAUUAUUAAUAUUUAUUAAUAAUAAUAAUAAUUAUUAUUAUUUUUUAAAGAGGGAGAGGGAGAGAGAGAGAGAGAGAGAAUUUUUAAAUAUUUAUUUAUUUUUUAGUUAUCGGCAGACACAACAUCUUUGUUGGUAUGUGGUGCUGAGGAUCGAACCCGGGCUGCACGCAUGCCAGAUGAGCGCGCUACUGCUUGAGCCACAUCCCCAGCCCAAUAAUUAUUAUUAAUAAUAAAAUAGUUAAUGAUCUUUAACAAAUUGUAUGAGAUAUAUACAUAUACAUAUAUGAACUAUGUCUAUAUAUAUAUAUAUAUAUAUAUAUAUAUAUAUAAUCUAAAUAUGCAUCCUUCGAACAAAAUACUUGAUAACUUUUAAGAACAAAAUUAAAUUUGAAACAAACUAAGUGUGGGCUUUGGAAAAGUAAAUCAAGAAUUUGCAAAAAUGGUACACAGAUUCCCCAUAUAUCCUUCACUCGGCUUCUUCAAAUCUUAUCCUACAUAGAGAACCAUUUAUCAAAAGCAGGAAAUUAAUAUUGAUUUGAUUCUAGGAAUUAAUUUUCAAAUCUUACUUGAUUUUCUCCAUUGUUCCAUUAAUUUAUUUUUUCUUGUCUGGGAUUCAUUCAAGGAUCUUAUAUUGCCAAAGAUUUCGAGUUUCCUUCGUCACCACUGAUACCGGACAAUUAUCCUUCUUUCUUUGUUCCUUUUCCUUUUCAGAACAUCAGCCAGUUGAAGUGUAUUUUCCCCCAUUUGUUGGUGGCUGAGGUUUGCUGGCAUUCAGCUGAGGUUCUACUGGCCCAGAGGCUGCAGUAUCCCUCCCGAUGUUUCCUAGGAGCAAGUUCAUUAAGUCAGUAUACCUCAUUACUGCUAUUUUAAUUUUGGUCUCUUGGUCAAGGUCACUUGGAUUAAUAACCAGAUAAAAUUAAUGAUAAAGCCUGUUUCAGCCUUCUUUUAAAAAUAUUUUUAGGGUCAGAGAAGGUAGUGGGGAGGGUGGAGACAACCUGUCACAACGAAACCCACUAAUUUGUACAAUCAGUAGGUGCC
rnacentral:lncRNA from 1 species